UACAGAGGGGGCAAGCGUUGUUCGGAAUUACUGGGCGUAAAGGGCGCGUAGGCGGCCCGCUAAGUCGAACGUGAAAUCCCCGAGCUCAACUCGGGAACUGCGUCCGAUACUGUCGGGCUAGAGUCCGGAAGAGGCGAGUGGAAUUCCUGGUGUAGCGGUGGAAUGCGCAGAUAUCAGGAGGAACACCGAUAGCGAAGGCAGCUCGCUGGGACGGUACUGACGCUGAGGCGCGAAAGCGUGGGGAGCGAACAGG
rnacentral:rRNA from 1 species